rnacentral:rRNA from 1 species
UACGAAGGGGGGCUAGCGUUGCUCGGAAUCACUGGGCGUAAAGCGCACGUAGGCGGAUCUUUAAGUCAGGGGUGAAAUUCUGGAGCUCAACUCCAGAACUGCCUUCGAUACUGAGAGUCUCGAGUCCGGGAGAGGUGAGUGGAACUGCGAGUGUAGAGGUGAAAUUCGUAGAUAUUCGCAAGAACACCAGUGGCGAAGGCGGCUCACUGGCCCGGUACUGACGCUGAGGUGCGAAAGCGUGGGGAGCAAACAGG